rnacentral:rRNA from 1 species
GAAUGCCCGGCUGAUGCGGACGAUGAAACAGUGCAGCAGUAUACCAGGGCAUACUUGUGGUAUGUAGUCAGCCGGACUCUUUUCUCUGACGGCACUGGCGUGAAUGCUUCCUUUAUGUGGCUUAAGCUGUUUGCUGGGUGGGAGCAUGGACUCAGUUGGGGUACGGCGGCGUUGGCUUAUUUGUAUCGUUAG